rnacentral:rRNA from 1 species
UACGUAGGGGGGCUAGCGUUGUCCGGAAUCAUUGGGCGUAAAGAGCGUGUAGGCGGUUCGGUAAGUCGGCUGUGAAAGUCCAGGGCUCAACCCUGGGAUGCCGGUCGAUACUGCCGGACUAGAGUUCGGAAGAGGCGAGUGGAAUUCCCGGUGUAGCGGUGAAAUGCGCAGAUAUCGGGAGGAACACCUAUGGCGAAGGCAGCUCGCUGGGACGUUACUGACGCUGAGACGCGAAAGCGUGGGGAGCAAACAGG